rnacentral:rRNA from 1 species
CCUACGGGUGGCAGCAGUCGAGAAUCAUUCACAAUGGGGGAAACCCUGAUGGUGCGACGCCGCGUGGGGGAAUGAAGGUCUUCGGAUUGUAAACCUCUGUUAUGUGGGAGCAAAUCAAAAUGAUUGUACCCCAAGAGGAAGAGACUGCUAACUCUGUGUCAGCAGCCGCGGUAAUACAGAGGUCUCAAGCGUUGUUCGGAAUCACUGGGCGUAAAGCGUGCGUAGGCUGUUGCGUAAGUGGGGUGUGAAAGGCGCGGGCUCAACCCGCGGACGGCACAUGAUACUGCGGGACUAGAGUGAGGGAGGGGGAAGCGGAAUUCGCGGUGUAGCAGUGAAAUGCGUAGAUAUCGAGAAGAACACUCGUGGCGAAGGCAGGUUACUGGACAUUAACUGACGCUGAGGCACGAAGGCCAGGGGAGCGAAAGGUAUUAGAUACCCGUGUAGUC